UACAGAGGGUGCAAGCGUUGUUCGGAAUUAUUGGGCGUAAAGCGCGUGUAGGCGGCCCUGCAAGUCGGAUGUGAAAGCCCUCGGCUCAACCGAGGAAGUGCGUUCGAAACUGCAAGGCUUGAGUGCCGGAGAGGGUGGCGGAAUUCCCCAAGUAGAGGUGAAAUUCGUAGAUAUGGGGAGGAACACCGGUGGCGAAGGCGGCCACCUGGACGGUGACUGACGCUGAGACGCGAAAGCGUGGGUAGCAAACAGG
rnacentral:rRNA from 1 species